GGAAAGGUCUGUGGCUCAGUGGUAGAGCAUCUGUUUUGCAUGCAGAAAGUCCUGAGUUCAAUCCCUGGUGUCUCCA